rnacentral:rRNA from 1 species
AGUGAACGCUGGCGGUAGGCCUAACACAUGCAAGUCGAACGGCAGCACAGUAAGAGCUUGCUCUUACGGGUGGCGAGUGGCGGACGAGUGAGGAAUACAUCGGAAUCUACUUUUUCGUGGGGGAUAACGUAGGGAAACUUACGCUAAUACCGCAUACGACCUACGGGUGAAAGCAGGGGAUCUUCGGACCUUGCGCGAUUGAAUGAGCCGAUGUCGGAUUAGCUAGUUGGCGGGGUAAAGGCCCACCAAGGCGACGAUCCGUAGCUGGUCUGAGAGGAUGAUCAGCCACGCUGGAACUGAGACACGGUCCAGACUCCUACGGGAGGCAGCAGUGGGGAAUAUUGGACAAUGGGCGCAAGCCUGAUCCAGCCAUACCGCGUGGGUGAAGAAGGCCUUCGGGUUGUAAAGCCCUUUUGUUGGGAAAGAAAAGCAGCAGGUUAAUACCCCGCUGUUCUGACGGUACCCAAAGAAUAAGCACCGGCUAACUUCGUG